AGGUGACCUUUAAAACAUCUAGAUGGCAUUUAAUUUAUAAUCUGAAUCUCAUGCAUUCAGCGUUUCAAUCUUUUGCUAUUUCUGCUUCAACUAGCUUAACAGUGGUUUGCCAUUAAUGAUUUAGGGAUGCAUAUGCAUGUUUUACUUUCUUUUCUAUUGAUCUUUUACCUUCUGCUCUUGCUACUUUCCUAGUUUCUUUUGUCGUUUCAAUCUUUUCCAGGAGGCUACUGAACUGAGCUUCUCUGAGCAAAUGCUCAACCAACCCCUCCACCCCUGUCCCACAGCUGUUCCCUGCUGGUCACCGCUGAUUCCUGCUUUCUAUCAUUUCAUCUCUGCACUGCCUGGGAGCACACACACACUGUUUCAUAUAUAUGAUUUAUGUAUACGGUACACAAGCAUACUGGUGGUUGGUACUGCGGGUUUACAUACAGUCUGAUCUGUAUCUUUCUGGUGCACACACACACGCUCAACACACAUAAUAACACGUGCAGAGUCUUAAGGUAACACCGACUUUGUGGCCACUGCUUCUACUUCUGCAAUUUGUUUAAUCCACCAUCCUAGUCAUUUUCCCUUUUUAAUCUCUCAUCAUAUAACACCUAAUCUUUAUUCAUUUAUGUAUUUCUGGAUUGUUCUCAUUUGGGAUGUUAUCUCUACCUUGCACAUUGUAAUAUAUGAAAGGGACUUUGAGUCUAAAAUGAUGUCCAAACUUCCUACGUGUUGUAUCUACCUGUUGGGCAGUAAUGGCUGCAUUUCAUUCUGCACAAUUAACAAAAAAUGAUCAAUUACGGAGAUUGUUUUUGACUCAAAUGUACUUUUUUAAUCAUGCUUAUGUUCUUGAUCUUAUGCUGAUUCUGCCACCAUUUGGCUGUGGUUUUUACGAACUGUUAUUUUUUUAUGCUGCACUAUGUAAUGAUAUUUCACUUAUUGCCCGACAAUACUUUUGUGUUGAGUAAGAUUUUGUUUACUGUUGUGUUUUGAGUAAGUCUUUGUAACAAAAUGGUCCUUUUGUGUUUCUUAGACGUUCUCAAGUCAUUGGCCGAUUCGAGGAAGGUCAGUCUGAAGAGCACAUGGACACAAGCGGCUCCAAUGAUCCCUCGGCUAACCCCACGCUAAUCCAGAGACAAGGCCGCAGCGAGAGGCGCUAUCUGGCGAGUAAACAUGACCUGUCCCUGGAUGCAGGAAAGGACCGUUCAGUCCCUGAUGUGUCCAGCUCCACUUUUGCUAACUUAAGAAGAGCCAAGUCUCUGGACCGCAGAGUCACCGAGUCCUCCAUGACUCCAGAUCUGCUGAACUUCAAAAAAGGAUGGAUGACAAAGCUGUACGAAGAUGGGAUGUGGAAGAAACACUGGUUUGUCCUGACUGAUCAGAAUUUGCGAUACUACAAGGACUCAAUAGCCGAGGAGGCUUCAUUAAUGGAUGGUGAGAUCGACCUCUCCACUUGUUAUGAUGUCAAAGAGUUCCCGGUCCAGAGGAACUACGGCUUCCAAAUCCUGUGUAAGGAGGGAGCGUGCACCCUGUCGGCCAUGACCUCUGGAAUCCGACGCAACUGGAUUCAGGCCAUCAUGACGAAUGUGCGACCCACUAUUGCCCCUGAUGUCACUCGGAAAAACAUCUCUCUGAAACUGUCCGUUCUGAAGCCCAGAUCCCUCCCCGAAGAGAAGGCCAACGUGAUGUUAGAGCCGUGUCCACAGGGCUCACCUGAGCUGAGCACAAGUCCUGAAGCCCCAAAGUCCUUCGUCCACACACAGACAUCUGGAAGCAACGCCUCUGGCCCUCUCUCCGAGCAACGUAAAAGCCGAGUCCGUGAGCGCAGACGAGAAGGUCGCUCCAAGACUUUUGACUGGUCCGAGUUUAAAAUGGAGCAGACAGAAAAGCGAGCAAACGAGCGAGCGGACACAGUGGACCUCACGUCAUCUUUCUCUACAACGUCCUCAUUUUGCUCUACCUCCUCUACGCCUUCCUCAUUAGCGUCCUCUCCUAUCUCUACCUCCUCCCUCCAAACCUCCUCUCUGUCAGGUGCUCACCCACCUUCUAUGACCCCAGAAGCAGAAAAGGAGAGCGUUAGGAGGGGCGUCCUCCCACAUGGCACAACCAGUGCCCCGCACAUGCCAAAUACUGUUACCGUCACUAUGACUUCCACGCUUAACACGACAUCACCAGUACCGCCAUCGAUACCUGACUGCCAUGAGCAAGGAAAGAUGGAAGUAGACCACCCAGCUGCGAUGCAUCCUGCUAGUGAAGAUAAGAAGAAAAAUAAAAACCCGGAUGUCCAUCAAGAGAUCGAGCAGCGGUGGCAUCAGGUGGAGACGACGCCGUUAAGAGGAGAGAAGCAAGUUGCCAUCAACACAGCUUCAGGAAACUCUAGUAACUCUGACAGAUUGCCGGCUGAUGAGCUUGCUGCGCUGCUAGACAAAGAGUUGGGAGAGAAGCAGCAGGAGCUGGACCGACUGCAGAAGCAAAACAAUGUUUUAAAAGAGCAGCUGGAGGAUGCACUUGGGAGGGAACACAGUGCCAGACAGGGCUAUGUGCUGCAGAGUGCAACAUCCCCUUCCUCUUCACCGCAAAGAGUGCCGUGGCAGCGCCUGCACGCGCUUAAUGAAGAUUUGCAGGGCGAGUUGGAAACCCAAAAGCAAAAGCAGGAUCUUGCUCAGCAGCAGAUUCGGACACUAAAGAGAAGCUACUCUGAAGCCCAGGAUGCGGUAGACCACCAUGAGUCUGGUAUUCAGGCUCUGCGGACUAAACUAGCAUCUGCAAUGGCCGAAAUCUUGGCGAGUGAACAGGCUGUUGCCAGAAUGCGCAAUGAGCUCAAGCUAGAGCAGAAACGUUCACAGGAACAAGAAGAUGAAUAUGGUCGCGGUGAGGCCACACUACGCGCCCAGCUAAAGGACAGUGAAGAUAGACUCCGUGAAGUAGAAGCCAGCCUCUUAGAGAGAAACCAGGCCCUCAGGCACCUGGAGCGCCAGCAGGCCCUGCAACGAGACCAUGUUAGAGAGAUUCAACGGCUCCAGGAGCGGCUGCAAGAGGUCACUGCUAGGAUAAAUGUUACCGAAGAGGGUCAAGCACUAAAGGAAGAGCGCCUGAGGAAGGAUCAGCAUAGCCUGCAAGAGAGUCAUGAGAAGGAAAGACAGAAUCUGUGUAGAAAAUUAGCUGAGGCUGAAACUGCACAGAAAGAGAUGGAGCUCCGUGUGCUAGAGGCUGAGCAGCAGGUCGAGGCCUUGUUGAGAGGCAGGCAGGCUUCUGGGGCAAAAGAAAGCAGGGAGGAAAUGCUGAAGUUGCAAGAGGAACUGGCCCUGAAGACUGACAUGGUGGAGUCACUAAGGGAGAGUGUGCGCAGGCUAGAAGAAGAGAAAGGCCAUCUCACCUGCCGCUGUCAGGAGCUUCUUAACCAGAUAGCAGAAGCAGACCGUGAGGUGAACAAGCUUCGCAAUCGUCUCGAAACAGAAGAAGCUGAUUACUACACCCUAGAGCACUCCUAUGAGAGGGCUACUCAAGAGUUUCAGAAAAUGAGCCAGUUCCUACGAGAAAAAGAGGAGGAGAUCCGGCAGACUAAGGAAAUGUACGAGAGGCUGAUGGUACGCAAGGAAGAGGAUUUGAAAGAAGCGCUUAUUAAAAUGGCUGCACUUGGCAACAGCUUGGAGGAAACUGAACAGAAGUUGCAAGCUAAGGAGGAGCUUCUUUCUCAUAUGAGUCAAAAUCUCUUGGAUAAAGUUGAACCCUGUAGUGCUGAAAAGGACCUGCAGGCCAAGCUAGUUGUUGCGGAGGAUCGCAUAGCAGAACUUGAGCAGCAUCUUAAUGCCCUGCAGCUGGGCUAUGCUGACCUACGCAUGGAAAGGCAGCAAAUCCCAGACAAGAGCAAGAAGGCAAGGCUUAAAACAUCCGCCUCCUUAGCAGCAAACACAGAUCUCUUACUUACCUAUGACAAUUCAUCCAAGACGGAGAACUCCCAAGAUGAUAAGGAGUCUCAAGCUAAGAGACCAAGGAUACGUUUUUCCACAAUUCAGUGCCAGAAAUACAUAAGUCUCGAGGGCAUGGACACUAUCAAUGCGAGCACUGCGUUUGCAGACACAACACAAAAUGUAAACGAGGAUGUUAAGGAAGAUACUGAUUUUACUAAAGGGAACAUCUCUGAUAUUACUUUCUCUCACAGUAGUGACCCAGAGAAGUUCAUUUCUAUCAUACACGCCCUAGAGACUAAGCUGCUAGCCACCGAGGAUACACUCAGAAACCUCACACAAAAUGUAGGAGAGCAAUCCAACCAAGCAGAAGACGCGUCUAAGAAUGAUCUAAAGAUGACAGACACAAAUCCUAACCCCAAUAAGGAGUUUAGUAAUGGAAGUGGGACACAGAGUAGUGCUAUCAAUAAGCAUUAUGCCAAGGCCCUGUUGUGUGUGGAAAGCAGUCGAGAGAAAGUCAGGACUAUUCUUAAUGGCUCUCAUGUUACCACCGGUUCGCAGCUGCACUCAUUGUCAGAGAUAGAGAACCAUUUGUUCAAUGCAUCACUGUUCAUCAGACAAGGACAAACGACUGAGGAGCAAUCACCAGUUGUCCAUACGAAUACAACCCCAGAGACUCUAGAUAAAGAAGCUUUGCACCUCUUUGCCAAAACGUUAUCGUUUGAGGCGGUUGUUCUGAAUAAAAUGGCUUUGUUAUUACAGACAUCAAAGUCUGACCUCCUACAAUCUCUUGCCGAGAUAUGGGAAGACUUGGAGAACAUUCAAAGAGGUGACAAAGAGUGCUUGGCUAUAGUGUAUGCUGAUGUCUUGACCAGGAAGUUGAUGUUAGAAAGUUCAUUCUGGAAAGAGUUGGAGAAAGCUGAGACGGAUGUUGCUAAAUCCAAAGAGGAAAGUGUUUCAGCUGAUGUAGAUGUUGAUUCCACCGUUAUCUUUAACACUUUAAUUAAAGCUGAGCUAGCCUACUCUGUUCAAAACCUUAAAAUGUGCUAUGAAGAGAAAUUCAAAAUAGUGAAAAGGGAGAUAACUGAGGCUCAUGAUAACCUGCAUCAAAGGGAAAUGGCCUUGAAAACAAUUAUUGAAGCUUCCAAAAGGCCUGAUUUGAUCAAUGUAAUAAAAGAAGUCAAAAAUAACUUUGAGUUUGGUGAACAAAAGUUAGCAGACAUUUCCCCCCCUGAACUAGCGCCCUACAUGGAGCAAAUUGAAAUGGAAGAGGCUAGAGACUUGGCUGAGGAAGUCGUAGACAGACAUUUGACUAGAGAAAUGCCCUCUUGUGGUAUUAAUUAUAUUGAAUCGCUGCAACAUGCACAUGACAACUUGGCCAAUGAGCUUCAAAGACAAGCAAAAAUCCUCCAUAAGUUUGCUCAAGAGAUAGAAAAUGGUGGAAACCAUCCUAGACUGGCUAAAAUGAUCCACGGUCUUCUGGGCCACCAAACAUCACGUGGUUUAACAAGUACCUCUGUCUGUAUGCGCGACGCCCUAAUCCAGGCUCAGGUAGCUUAUGUGGCAUGCAGGUUACAGGCCAUGCAUGAACAAGACUUGGGCUGGUGCAAACAGACAGGUCAAAACAUGGAUGCUCUUGUCCAACAGCACGCCCGAAAAGUCAACGCAAUCCAAGAAAAUUAUGAAGCAUCAUUAAAGGAGGAACGCUUGAACCUAACACAAGCAGUUUCCACUCUCACGAAGGAGAACCAUACGCUUAAGAGUGAGAUCAGCAAACGUGUGAACCAGCUUUCACAGCAGCAGGACCAACUGGCUCUCCUGGAGGAACGUUUCCAGAAGGACACUGAAGAGCUAAAACAGAGGCAUAAGCACGAGCUAAGCCAAGCUGAGAAAGGCCGUGCCUCCACAGAGAUGGCCCUCAUGGACACCACAGCUGACAGUCAGCAAAAGCUAGAAGUCUUGCUGGUGGACAUGGAAACCAUGGAGGGGCGGCACGAGGGUCACGUGAGGAAACUGGAAGAGCGGUUUGAACAGCGGAUCUGUGAGCUCCAGCAAAUCCACAAAGAGGAGAUGGAAAAGUUACAUUCCCAGUAUAUGGAAAACGUUCAAUGUAUCCAACAGCACAAUAAAGGUCUUGAGGUUUCCCGCUCGCCUCCUUGUGAUGAGGCCCCUACGCCAAUGGAUGAGGAGGAGCAGGGGAAGGGGGAGGAUGCACAUACCAGGUCAGAGGUGGACUCCAUGCUGGUUCUGAAGGACCGGAUCCAGGAGCUGGAGGCUCAGAUGAGCACCAUGAAGGACGAACUGGAGAAUAAGCACCUAGAAGGAGAUGUGGCCAGCCUGAGAGAGAAAUACCAGAGAGACUUUGAGAGUCUUAAGGCUACGUGUGAACGUGGCUUUGCAACAAUGGAAGACACACACCACAAGGUAAUAAAUGACCUCCACAGGCAGCAUCAGAGGGAGAUCGCAAAGCUUAUGGAAGAGAGAGAGAGACUUUUGGCUGAGGAGACUGCUGCCACAAUUGCUGCUAUUGAAGCAAUGAAGAAUGCACACAAGGAGGAACUGAACAAGACCCAUCGUUCCCAACUGAGCGGACUGAACGCUGACAUUGAUGAACUGCGCUUACAAUACGAGGAGGAGCUGCAGUCGAUCCACAGAGAACUGGAGGUGCUGUCGGAGCAGUACUCGCAGAAAUGUCUGGAGAACGCUCACCUGGCCCAGGCCCUGGAGGCCGAGAGGCAGGCCCUCAGGCAGUGUCAGAGAGAGAACCAGGAGCUCAACGCUCACAACCAGGAACUAAACAACCGACUGACUACAGAGAUCACUCGGAUGCGCUCUUGCUUCAGUGGAGAAACAGCAAUGUCACCACUUACCCAGGGAAAAGAUGUGUAUGAACUUGAGGUGUUGCUACGAAUUAAGGAGUCAGAGAUCCAGUAUCUUAAGCAGGAGAUCCACUCUUUGAAAGAUGAACUGCAGUCUGCUUUAAGGGACAAGAAGUAUGCCACAGAAAAAUACAAAGACAUCUACACAGAGCUCAGCAUUGUGAAAGCAAAGGCUGACUGCGACAUCAGCAAACUGAAGGAGAAGCUGCUCAUUGCAACAGAAGCUUUAGGAGAGAGGAACGUCGAUGGAACAGUCACACCUGGAUACGAUAUCAUGAAAUCAAAAAGUAAUCCAGAAUUCCUGAAAAAGGAACGAUCAAACGCCGCCAAGCAAUCAAGAGGCCUAAGGUCAAAGUCUGUCAUUGAACAGGCAUCAUGGGAUAGCUGACACUCCCAUUGUGGGGUGAUUCCCCCCCCAACCCCCGCCCCAAGAUGUUCUAGCCUGAAAGAGGGACUUACGGUGCAGGAGCGUAUGAAGCUUUUUGAGGCAAAAGAUUCCAAAAAGAUUUAAAUUUGUAAGAAUCUGCAGUUUCAGUUUUUCUUCCUGACCUCAGUUUUCGGUCAGAUGGUACGGCCAUGCCAGCAUUUGCUGAAGACUUGUAUAGGAAAUGGAAAAAAAUCUGUCACGGUCAAAACCAAGACCUGCUGCUUCCAUCCUUCUUAUUAGUGGUCAUAUUUUUGUUAGAUUUUUUUUUUAGGUGAAAAACUUUUAUUGAAUCAAUCCUGUGUCAUUUUUCUUUUUAAGAAUCCAUAGACGUAUAAUCUGUCCAACAUGGAGAUGUGUCAAAUAAGCUGUGAGAGGAAUACAUGACAGCCUUUUUAUUGAUCCUCUAUAAUGCCAAAACGACAGCAAUACACAGUAUAAAUAAUAUAUAUUUCCCAAUAUGAAUUAAGUAUCUGCUGUAUUUUAUUAUUGUUACAGUUUCUAUAUCUAAUAAUUUUGUAUGGGUUUAAUGUUGCACCAGUUCUGUUGUACAUAACUACUGGAUAUAUGUUAGAGUAAGGUUUGCUAUUGAUUGUUGGGGCAUCUGCUGUACUAUAACUAUGGUUUGAUUGAUAGUGGAAAACAAUGUGAUGCUAACUUGCUUAUGUAUGAGAGUUUUAUAAAAAUGGAGUGUCUUUGUGUGAAGGGGGAUAUAGAGGGGUGGGAUUGCACUUAUCACUUGACUACUUGAGGAAGCUUUGUUUUAUUUGUCUCAACCUGGUGUAGUGACUUCAAGUCAUGUAUUGCAGUGCAACCAAACACCCUAACUUCUGUCAAAUGUAGUGGAAAACCGUGACUUGUUAGUGAUACUGGACUUUUUUUUCUUUGAACCUGGAUUUGUGUUUGCUCAGUUUUGAUUAGCGUGAAAAUAUCAUCUCAGAAAACAGGAACUAUUUAGGACGUUGCAUGACUGUACAGUACCUUUUUGAAUUGCAGAAUGGUCAUGUUGCCUCUUUUUCCUACUUUUUUGCUUCAGUGUGGAACUCUUUAACACUACUAAGCUUUGCUUUGCAAGUCCUACUGUUUAGGUGUUGAGAUUGAAAUGUUUUACUGUAAGCGGCAGUCUUGAAGCACUCGGCCCAAUCCCUGACCUCUCACUGAAAUAGUCGUGCCUCAACUGAGUGAA